rnacentral:misc_RNA from 1 species
GGAUGAAGAACGCAGCGAAAUGCGAUACGUAAUGUGAAUUGCAGAAUUCAGUGAAUCAUCGAGUCUUUGAACGCACAUUGCGCCCUCUGGUAUUCCGGAGGGCAUGCCUGUCCGAGCGUCAUUGCUGCCCUCAAGCACGGCUUGUGUGUUGGGCCCCGCCCCCCGAUCCCGGGGGGCGGGCCCGAAAGGCAGCGGCGGCACCGCGUCCGGUCCUCGAGCGUAUGGGGCUUUGUCACCCGCUCUGUAGGCCCGGCCGGCGCUUGCCGAUCAACCAAACUUUUUUCCAGGUUGACCUCGGAUCAGGUAGGGAUACCCGCUGAACUUAAGCAUAUCAAUAAGCGGAGGA